AUCGCGAGAUCAGGAGGGUGGCCGAGGGUGUCGCCGCGGCCAUCAGGCACUUCUCCUUCCUGCCAUCAUGUGAAGAAGGAUGUGUUUGCUUCCCCUUCUGCCAUGAUUGUAAGUUUCCUGAGGCCUCCUCAGCCCUGCGGAACUGGGGUUAUAGCCAUGUGACUAAUCUUUGUCCGAGAAUAUAUAAAGCAAAAGUGUUGAGUUGGCUUUUGGGGCUAGAGCAAUGUAUCUUAGGCUCACUUAAGGAAGCUGUAGAAAUGAGCCCAAGGAGGGAAACCAGAAGAGCCCCCCAGGCUCACCAGUUGUUUGUUGGCUCCCUACAAACAUGUCAUUCAAGUGGCUAAUCUUACAACAGCACAAAUGCAUCUAACCAGAAAGAGAAGAGGAGGCUCCAAAGGCACUUGACUACUGAGCAUCACCCUGGACGUGUACAAGUCUGCGUCCUUAUUGUUUUCUUCAUUGGGCCGAACUUUCUGGUCCUCAUCCAACAGCUCUUCUAUCACAUGUUCGAAAGUGUCAGCCAACGAUGUCAGGCCUCUUGAACCCGCCUUGGGCCCAUUCACGCUCUCCAGAGUCCCAUGGGUCCGCACACCUGGAGAUACUCUAUUAUAGCAAAGAAGAAAGAUAAUUUCAUUGAGCCAUCCUGUUUUACAGGAAAUUCUGCAAGUGGCAACGUGGGUCCAUUCCGUGUGUGUCACUAGAGCUGGCGCAAGGCCAUGGCCAUGGUGAGGCACUGUUUCCACUGGAACUAAUCUGAUACCUGCACCAGCUCUUGGAACUGCAAACUAUGGAUGGGGUAAAAGACUGCUCACCUCCCAUUUCUCAUCUCAUCUCACACACUCUGUUUGAUGAGGCUAUGGAGAAACAGGUCUUCUCAUACACUAAUGGUGGGAGUACAAACAAUUCAAGCCCUUUGCAGGACAAUUAGGCAAUACCUAUCAAAAUUAUACAUGAUUUUUCCUGCUGACCCAGCAAUUCCACUUCUGGGAAUAAAUUGACAGAUAUAGGUGCAUAUGUACAAAAUGAUGGAAAGCUCUCUGGUAUAUAUUAGUAAGUGAUAAAACAAGGUGUAAAAUAGUGUAUAUAUGGCUACUACCUUUUGUUUUAAAAAUGGGGGAAAAUGGCGGAGCUGGCGGUGAGCGGAGAUCGUGCCACUGCACUCCAACUUGGGCGACAGAGCGAGACUCUGUCUAAAAAAAAAAAAAAAAAAACAGGGUGGGGUGGGGGGGAAAUAAUAGUACAUAUUCAUAUUUACCUGUAUCUAUAUAUAUAAAACACACUAUCAAGUAUUCACAAGAAACUAAUACAAAUGAUCACCUUAUAGAUGGUAUGUAUUGGGGGAUACUGGGGUGAGCAGGGUAUAAGUGGGGCAAGACUUUUCAAUGUAAACUACUUUGAACUUUUAUUUUGAUUUUUGAAUAAUGUAAAUUAACUGUCAAAUAAUUAAAUUAAAAAUAACCAAUUUUUUAACAAAACA
rnacentral:antisense_RNA from 1 species